AACACAUGCGUGGCACACGAGGAGCCGCCUCCAACUCCCAAGCCGACGGCGGCAAUGGCGCGGCCGCGCGGGAGAGGCGAGGCGCGGCGGCGGCGGGUACUGGGCGAGGGAAGAGCCGAUCUUCUUCGCCUACACGUGGACAGGAUACGGCGUUCACAUACUAAAGUGGUAUAAUCGCUUCGAUCGAAUCGUUUUUUCUAGGCUUGGAGCGCGUGGAUUUGUAGUCUCCUCACUCAGUUGGGGCGCGUUCGCGUACAUCCGUGUUGGUGUUCUCGAAUCUGGAAUGGAGGAGAGAGUGGAGGAAAUUUGCAGCUAGGGUUCGUGUUUGGGAUGCUAGUGUUUGGAAUUUGCCAAUAUUCGGAUUGAUGGCCCGGCUCUCCGACCUAUUUCGUACUAGUAGAAAUUAUUCUCCAAUAUGCGACCUACAAUGUGCGACCCUUUAAGCAUGUCGAUGAUUACUAUGGUUCAAUCAGCUUUGGUGUGGUUU
rnacentral:sRNA from 1 species